rnacentral:rRNA from 1 species
GACGAACGCUGGCGGCGUGCCUAAUACAUGCAAGUAGAACGCUGAAGAGAGGAGCUUGCUCUUCUUGGAUGAGUUGCGAACGGGUGAGUAACGCGUAGGUAACCUGCCUUGUAGCGGGGGAUAACUAUUGGAAACGAUAGCUAAUACCGCAUAACAAUGGAUGACACAUGUCAUUUAUUUGAAAGGGGCAAUUGCUCCACUACAAGAUGGACCUGCGUUGUAUUAGCUAGUAGGUGAGGUAACGGCUCACCUAGGCGACGAUACAUAGCCGACCUGAGAGGGUGAUCGGCCACACUGGGACUGAGACACGGCCCAGACUCCUACGGGAGGCAGCAGUAGGGAAUCUUCGGCAAUGGGGGCAACCCUGACCGAGCAACGCCGCGUGAGUGAAAAAGGUUUUCGGAUCGUAAAGCUCUGUUGUAAGUCAAGAACGAGUGUGAGAGUGGAAAGUUCACACUGUGACGGUAGCUUACCAGAAAGGGACGGCUAACUACGUGCCAGCAGCCGCGGUAAUACGUAGGUCCCGAGCGUUGUCCGGAUUUAUUGGGCGUAAAGCGAGCGCAGGCGGUUUGAUAAGUCUGAAGUUAAAGGCUGUGGCUCAACCAUAGUUCGCUUUGGAAACUGUCAAACUUGAGUGCAGAAGGGGAGGGUGGAAUUCCAUGUGUAGCGGUGAAAUGCGUAGAUAUAUGGAGGAACACCGGUGGCGAAAGCGGCUCUCUGGUCUGUAACUGACGCUGAGGCUCGAAAGCGUGGGGAGCGAACAGGAUUAGAUACCCUGGUAGUCCACGCCGUAAACGAUGAGUGCUAGGUGUUGGAUCCUUUCCGGGAUUCAGUGCCGCAGCUAACGCAUUAAGCACUCCGCCUGGGGAGUACGACCGCAAGGUUGAAACUCAAAGGAAUUGACGGGGGCCCGCACAAGCGGUGGAGCAUGUGGUUUAAUUCGAAGCAACGCGAAGAACCUUACCAGGUCUUGACAUCCCGAUGCUAUUUCUAGAGAUAGAAAGUUACUUCGGUACAUCGGUGACAGGUGGUGCAUGGUUGUCGUCAGCUCGUGUCGUGAGAUGUUGGGUUAAGUCCCGCAACGAGCGCAACCCCUAUUGUUAGUUGCCAUCAUUCAGUUGGGCACUCUAGCGAGACUGCCGGUAAUAAACCGGAGGAAGGUGGGGAUGACGUCAAAUCAUCAUGCCCCUUAUGACCUGGGCUACACACGUGCUACAAUGGUUGGUACAACGAGUUGCGAGUCGGUGACGGCAAGCUAAUCUCUUAAAGCCAAUCUCAGUUCGGAUUGUAGGCUGCAACUCGCCUACAUGAAGUCGGAAUCGCUAGUAAUCGCGGAUCAGCACGCCGCGGUGAAUACGUUCCCGGGCCU